AUGCAACACUCUAAAAUCUUAAAAAUCGAAUUUAAAACAUUCAAAGUGUACACAAAGUUAUGAUUAAACGUAAAAUACAAAAACACUGUAUAGAAGUACGAUUACAUAAAAAAAAUCUUUGAAACUUGAAAAAUUCCCCAUUAAAUUCGAAAAAUUUGAAUAUUCCGGAAUUUCAUGUUUACGUUCAUGCGGUCGUAACAUUAGCCAAAUCACACUGCGUAAAAGGGUAUACUGAAUUCGUCGGAAAGACUUAGCAAUGUAUGGCCGGUCACUCUGGACUCAGACCACUCAUGUAGGCUUACAACAGGGCCAGGAAGUCCUUCUCCUGUCCUCGGUAGAUGACUUUCAGCGAAGUGAUCGACGACAACUUGCGCAGCACAGCAUCCUGGCCAGCCAUUUGACUUUGUUAUAGUGCGUGUAGUUCAGCCACCGAAAAGCACAUUUAAGAAGUAAAUAAAUUCGAAUAAGACAAAC